GUGUUCACUUCAGCAGCACAUAUACUAAAAUUGGAAUGACACAAAGAAGAUUAGCAUGGCCCCUGCACAAAGAUGAUUCACAAAUUCAUGAAGCAGUCCAUAUUUUU
ensembl:snRNA U6 U6 spliceosomal RNA